GACUCCUUAAUAUAGUGGUUCAGUAUAUUCGCUUGUGGCGCGAAAGACGCGUGUUCGAUUCACGCAGGGGUCA
rnacentral:tRNA from 2 species